rnacentral:rRNA from 1 species
AGAGUUUGAUCAUGGCUCAGGAUGAACGCUAGCGACAGGCUUAACACAUGCAAGUCGAGGGGCAGCACAGGUAGCAAUACCGGGUGGCGACCGGCGCACGGGUGAGUAACGCGUAUGCAACUUGCCUAUCAGAGGGGGAUAACCCGGCGAAAGUCGGACUAAUACCGCAUGAAGCAGGGAUCCCGCAUGGGAAUAUUUGCUAAAGAUUCAUCGCUGAUAGAUAGGCAUGCGCUCCAUUAGGCAGUUGGCGGGGUAACGGCCCACCAAACCGACGAUGGAUAGGGGUUCUGAGAGGAAGGUCCCCCACAUUGGUACUGAGACACGGACCAAACUCCUACGGGAGGCAGCAGUGAGGAAUAUUGGUCAAUGGCCGAGAGGCUGAACCAGCCAAGUCGCGUGAGGGAUGAAGGUUCUAUGGAUCGUAAACCUCUUUUAUAAGGGAAUAAAGUGCGGGACGUGUCCCGUUUUGUAUGUACCUUAUGAAUAAGGAUCGGCUAACUCCGUGCCAGCAGCCGCGGUAAUACGGAGGAUCCGAGCGUUAUCCGGAUUUAUUGGGUUU